rnacentral:rRNA from 1 species
UACGAAGGUCCCAAGCGUUGUUCGGAAUCACUGGGCGUAAAGGGAGCGUAGGCGGCGUGGUAAGUCAGAUGUGAAAUCCCGGGGCUACAACCCCGGAACUGCAUCCGAUACUGCCAUGCUAGAGGAUUGGAGAGGUAGCUGGAAUUCUUGGAUGUAGCAGUGAAAUGCGUAGAGAUCAAGAGGAACACUCGUGGCGAAAGCGAGCUACUGGACAAUUCCUGACGCUGAGGCUCGAAGGCUAGGGUAGCGAAAGGG